UCCCCAAGACUAUGUAAGCUGUAAGGACUGGGGUGGCAGAGCAGGGGCAAUUCUGGGGCGGGUCAAGCUGCAGAGAGCUCUGGAGUUCCGGUUGUGGCGAGCUGGUGGCUUUUGAUGAUACAGCUGCCUUUCAGCUGUCCACAUCCCUGUGAAUAACCCCAAGGAACUGACUCAACAAUUCGGACUUUAGCUUGGCAGAGGUUCCCUGUCUGGGGCAUCACACAUGUCCUAGGAGCCAUCAGAGUCAUGCCAUACAACUACAGAGUGACAAGAAUGAUACCAGAUGCCGUGUCGCCUUGAUGUCACGCACCCCAGGCUCAGACUGAGAAGGGCUUGUAGGACAACAAGCCGCCUGCAGCAGGGCCUGGGCCACGUGGACAGACAUGGCCACCUCUGCAGCUAUCUGGGCAGGUCACUUCUGCUCUCUCAAGGCUGGCAGGACAGUCAGCUAAACCCAAACGUCAGUACUGAGGGUGGAACCCAGGGCUCUAUGUAUGCCGGGCAAGCACUCUGUGGCUGACCUCACCCCCAGCUCCUAUUUGAAAUCCAUUUGGAAUAGGGUAGCCUGGCUUUGUUCUCCUGCCCUUAUUUGGAAGGGGUGGCUGCUGCCUUCCCAGUCCCUCUCCUUCUCAUCCGGCAGGGAUUCCCAUCUUGCCCUCCUCCAGACCACGCUGCUAGAAAGAUGGACCAACAGUCACUCCUCCACCCCAUCAUCUAAGAUGACCUUGCUUCUGUCUGUUGUCUGUCCCUUGCUCUGAGAGGCAGGCUCCAUCUGUCCCUCCCAUCUGACGCGGUCACUUCCACAAGCAGGGCACCUGUUGCUAUAUCCCCAGAGCCUAGCACAGGUCUGACACACAGUAGGCACUCAGCUAGUAUUAACUGAAAGAUGCCAAGACUGUCUCUAUAAGCGAGCUGCCUAGUGCAGGGGGGAAGAGGGAGGUAAGCAUGAGGGGGUGGGCUGUGCCCCUACUGUCUUACUGUCUGCCCCCCAGCCUCUCACACUGGCCACUGGUCCCCUCUUUUCUGAGAUGCAGAGUUGACAAAGGGUGGCUGGAACACAAGUCUGUCCUCACCCUACCCCACAAGCCCAGCCUCUGGUCCACACAUUCCCAUGGCAGCACGGUUACCAUGGCAACAGCAACCAGAGGUCACAGCACUGUAAACCAGAGGAUGCCUGCCCUCCUGGAACACCACCACUGAGGUAGAAUCUAAUUUUCAUCACAGCCAUAAUACUGGUUUUGCAUAAUGGUACAUAUAUUAAUACCUAACACGCCUGUGUUUAUUUGGUUAAAAUUCAUGAAUUCGGGUCUAAAUAAGAAGUGCUGAUGGUUGAAGUUUGUCACUCUCUUAAAACGUUCUUAGACUGUUGUUUUAAGCCAAACUCUCCUUGGAAGCUCCUGGCUUCUAAUCCCACUGCUAAUGGGUAGAGACGGAAACAGAGUUGGGACAAGAUGAAGGUGACACUCAGCCAGGCACUAGACCUGCCCAGGCCUCAGGUCUGCCCACCCCUGCCAGAGUGGGUGGAGUCACAUACCACUCACCUGUCAAUCAGUCUCCUUGCUGGGGUGGGAGGGGCUGAGGCAGGACCUACUGGCUGCUUUGCUGCGGCCCUAGCAGCUGCCGUUGCUCUCCCUCUUCCUCCCCCUGACCAAUAAACGUGUGGCAGGAAGACA